UAGGGAAUCUUGCGCAAUGGGCGAAAGCCUGACACAGCGACGCCGCGUGCGGGACGAAGGCCCUCGGGUUGUAAACCGCUUUCAGCAGGGACGAAGCGAAAGUGACGGUACCUGCAGAAGAAGGUCCGGCCAACUACGUG
rnacentral:rRNA from 1 species